UUUUCCUUUGCAGAACACCAUGGACAUUAUUGGAGACGCUCUUCUUUCCACUGUCAUUGAAUUCCUGUUUGACAAGUUGGCUUCCUCUGAUCUGAUGAAGUUCGCACGGCAUGAGGAUGUCCACACCGAGCUCAAGAAAUGGGAGAAGGAGUUGCAGAGCAUCCGGGAAGAGCUCAACGACGCGGAGGAAAAGCAGAUCACACAGGAGGCUGUCAAAUCAUGGCUGUUCGAUCUGAGGGAUUUGGCGUAUGACAUGGAGGACAUCUUGGACGAGUUUGCUUACGAAGUGAUGAGAAGAAAGCUGAUGGGGGCGGAAGCUGACGAAGCCAGCACAAGCAAAAUACGCAGGUUCGUUUCUAGUUGCUGUACUAGUUUCAAUCCAACUCAUGUGGUGCGUAAUGUCAAGACGGGGUCCAAGAUUAGACAGAUCACCAGCAGGUUACAAGAUAUUUCAGCUAGAAAAGCUAGAUUUGGCCUGGAAAAAUUGAGAGGAGCAGCAGCUACUUCCGCUUGGCAAAGGCCACCACCCACUACACCUAUGGCAUACGAACCUGACGUUUAUGGCAGGGAUGAAGAUAAAACACUGGUUCUUGAUAUGCUGCGCAAGGUUGAGCCCAAUGAAAACAAUGUUGGCCUCAUUUCCAUUGUUGGCAUGGGCGGGCUGGGCAAGACAACGCUCGCACGGCUUGUUUACAAUGAUGAUUUGGCCAAAAAUUUUGAACUAAGAGCAUGGGUUUGUGUGACUGAGGAUUUUGAUGUGGAGAAAAUAACAAAAGCAAUUCUCAAUUCGGUGUUAAAUUCUGAUGCAAGUGGGUCUUUGGACUUCCAACAAGUUCAAAGGAAAUUGACAGACACGUUAGCAGGGAAAACUCUUUUUCUCAUUCUAGACGACGUGUGGAACGAAAAUUAUUGUAAUUGGGAUCGUUUGCGGGCUCCUUUUAGUGUAGUGGCAAAAGGAAGCAAAGUCAUAGUUACAACACGCAAUAAAAAUGUUGCAUUGAUGAUGGGAGCUGCCGAGAAUCUUCAUGAACUAAACCCCUUGUCAGAAGACGCUUGUUGGUCUGUGUUUGAGAAGCAUGCAUGUGAACAUAGAAAUAUGGAAGAUCAUCCAAACUUGGUGUCCAUUGGGAGGAAAAUUGUUGGCAAGUGUGGGGGAUUGCCCCUAGCAGCAAAAGCCCUUGGUGGUCUCUUACGCUCUAAACAUAGGGAAGAAGAAUGGGAAAGAGUAUUGAAUAGCAAAAUUUGGGAUUUUUCAAGCGCGGAAUGUGAGAUUCUUCCUGCGUUGCGGUUGAGCUAUCACUAUCUCCCUUCAUAUUUGAAGGGGUGUUUUGCAUACUGUGCAAUCUUCCCCAAGGACUAUGAGUACGACUCAAAAACUUUGGUCCUCCUGUGGAUGGCUGAAGGUUUAAUUCAGCAACCAAACGCUGACAGCCAGACAAUGGAAGAUCUAGGAGACAACUAUUUUUGUGAAUUAUUGUCAAGGUCAUUUUUUCAAUCAUCAGGUAAUGAUGAAUCCCGUUUUGUGAUGCAUGAUCUUAUCUGUGAUCUCGCUCGAGUUGCUUCUGGUGAAAUAAGCUUUUGUUUGGAAGAUAACUUGGAAAGUAAUCAUCGAUCCACAAUUUCUAAAGAGACUCGUCAUUCAUCAUUCAUUCGUGGAAAAUUCGACGUGUUCAAGAAAUUUGAAGCCUUUCAAGAGUUUGAACAUUUACGAACAUUUGUGGCUUUACCAAUUCAUGGUACGUUUACAAAAUCUUUUGUAACUAGUUUGGUGUGUGAUCGUUUGGUGCCAAAAUUUCGACAGUUAAGAGUCCUCUCUUUGAGUGAAUAUAUGAUAUUUGAGCUACCAGAUUCUAUUGGUGGAUUAAAACAUCUGCGUUAUUUGAAUUUGUCUUUCACCCAAAUCAAAUUAUUGCCAGAUUCAGUGACCAACCUCUAUAAUUUACAAACAUUGAUACUAUCCAAUUGUAAGCAUCUUACAAGGUUGCCUUCCAAGAUCGGAAAUUUAAUUAGCCUUAGACAUCUCAAUGUUGUUGGAUGUUCAUUGCAAGACAUGCCACAGCAAAUAGGCAAAUUAAAGAAAUUGCAAACAUUGUCUGAUUUUAUUGUGUCCAAAAGAGGAUUUUUGGGAAUAAAGGAGUUGAAGGAUUUGUCACAUCUGCGGGGGGAGAUAUGUAUUUCAAAAUUGGAAAAUGUUGUGGAUGUUCAAGAUGCUAGAGAUGCCAAUCUAAAAGCUAAGCUCAAUGUUGAAAGGUUGAGUAUGAUUUGGAGUAAAGAAUUGGAUGGUUCGCAUGAUGAAGAUGCUGAAAUGGAAGUCCUUCUCUCUCUACAACCUCAUACUAGUUUGAAGAAACUCAAUAUUGAAGGUUACGGUGGUCGGCAAUUCCCCAACUGGAUAUGUGAUCCCUCUUACAUUAAAUUGGUGGAGUUAAGUCUUAUUGGUUGUAUAAGAUGCAUAUCAGUACCUUCGGUUGGGCAACUACCCUUCCUCAAGAAGUUAGUCAUCAAAAGAAUGGAUGGAGUGAAAAGUGUGGGGCUGGAGUUUGAGGGCCAAGUUUCUCUUCAUGCUAAGCCUUUCCAAUGCUUAGAGUCUUUGUGGUUUGAGGAUAUGAUGGAAUGGGAAGAGUGGUGUUGGUCAAAAAAGUCAUUUUCUUGCCUCCAUCAGUUGGAGAUAAAAAAUUGUCCAAGAUUGAUUAAGAAAUUACCCACACACCUAACUUCUCUAGUCAAGCUUAGUAUUGAGAAUUGCCCAGAAAUGAUGGUUCCACUUCCAACAGACUUGCCUUCUCUUGAAGAGCUCAAUAUUUAUUAUUGCCCAGAAAUGACGCCACAAUUUGACAACCAUGAAUUUCCCCUUAUGCCACUGAGGGGAGCAAGUAGAAGUGCAAUUGGCAUCACCUCACAUAUUUAUUUGGAAGUUAGUGGAAUAUCACAGCUUUCCAGACUUCAGCCAGAGUUUAUGCAGUCCCUUCCGAGGCUUGAACUUCUAGAAAUUGACAAUUCUGGUCAGUUGCAAUGUUUGUGGCUGGAUGGGUUGGGAUUAGGAAACCUCUCUCGUCUUCAAAUAUUGAGUUGUGACCAACUUGUGUCCUUGGGAGAGGAGGAGGAGGAAGAGCAAGGGCUGCCUUACAAUCUUCAGCAUUUGGAAAUACGUAAGUGUGAUAAGUUGGAGAAGCUUCCACGUGGAUUACAAAGCUAUACAUCUCUUGCAGAGUUGAUCAUCGAGGAUUGCCCAAAACUGGUGUCAUUUCCAGAGAAGGGUUUCCCACUCAUGCUUAGAGGUCUUGCUAUUUCUAAUUGUGAAAGUCUAAGUAGUCUACCUGAUAGGAUGAUGAUGAGAAACAGCAGCAACAACGUGUGUCACCUUGAAUACUUGGAGAUAGAGGAGUGUCCAUCUCUUAUUUACUUUCCACAAGGGCGGUUACCCACCACCCUUAGGCGACUACUCAUAUCCAAUUGUGAAAAACUAGAGUCUCUUCCAGAAGAAAUCAAUGCGUGUGCCCUUGAACAGUUAAUUAUAGAGAGGUGUCCAUCUCUCAUUGGUUUUCCAAAAGGUAAGCUACCCCCCACUCUCAAGAAGCUUUGGAUAGGAGAGUGUGAAAAGCUAGAGUCCCUACCAGAAGGAAUAAUGCAUCACCAUUCCAACAAUACAACCAAUUGUGGUCUUCAAAUCUUGGAUAUCUUGGAAGGUUCAUCUCUUGCAUCCUUUCCUACUGGCAAGUUUCCCUCUACCUGUAAAUCUAUUAUGAUGGAUAAUUGUGCACAGUUGCAGCCAAUUUCAGAGGAGAUGUUUCACUGUAAUAAUAAUGCACUUGAAGAGUUGUCCAUCUUGAGACUUCCUAAUCUCAAAACCAUACCAGAUUGCCUCUACAACCUCAAAGAUCUCCGGAUUGAAAAAUGUGAGAAUCUGGAUUUGCAGCCUCAUCUAUUGCGAAACCUCACUUCUCUUGCAUCACUUCAGAUCACUAAUUGUGAGAAUAUCAAAGUGCCCUUAUCAGAGUGGGGCCUUGCCAGAUUGACCUCUCUUAGAACUCUUACCAUUGGUGGCAUAUUUCUGGAAGCCACCUCCUUUUCUAAUCACCACCACCACUUUUUUCUUCUUCCUACUACUCUAGUUGAGGUUUGCAUUUCAAGUUUCCAGAAUCUGGAAUCCUUGGCCUUCCUGUCUCUCCAAACGCUCACCUCUCUUAGAAAGCUAGGUGUCUUCCAAUGUCCUAAGCUCCAGUCGUUUAUACCAAAGGAAGGGCUGCCUGACAUGCUUUCAGAACUGUAUAUAAGAGACUGCCCACUCCUAAUUCAAAGGUGCUCAAAAGAGAAAGGGGAAGAUUGGCCCAAGAUUGCCCACAUCCCCUGUGUGAAAAUAGAUGGCAAAUUGAUCCUUGAGCAAUAAGAAGUUGAGAUUGCAGCAAAAUGAACGCAGAGACCACCACUAUAUGUAAGUGCUUGGUAUUUUUCUUCAAUCUGCCACAAUUCCUUUUGUCAUUUGUUUAAUUUAUUGUUCCAAAUUUAUUUGUUUAAUUGAAUUGUCUUGCAUGUCUUCCACAGUUGAAACUCAUCCAAUGGAAAAAAAUCUCCUUCACCAAUGACUGGUUUGUCAUCCAUGCUAUAAAGUCUCAUGCUUGAUGGUUAUGAAGGUUAAAAAGUCAGUAUCUCAUUGACAAAACAACAACAACAAGAACAGAUUUAAUCAAAAAGGUAAGGGAACAAUUCAUGAAGACACUAGUUGUAACAAGACUAUAUGGUCUGCCUUUAUCACCCUAUCAUAGAGAUGAAUGAUCCAUCACCCUUAAUCACAUUAUGAUUUUUUGUUGCAGAAACUGGAGUCAAUGUUAGCAAAAAAAUUGCAGAUAAAACUUUCUUGAAAGCUUUUGUAGUUGUUUGAGUCAGAACUUUAUCUGGGGCCUCAUGACAUGCCUGUCGUUAGAUUGCAUAUCUACGCAACACGCAUAGGCUAUCAAUUCCCUUUCUAUUAGAAUCAAGUACGCCCAUUCAUUAUACAUAACUUUUUUCUUCUUAAGAAUUAGUUUCAAAAUGUUCAUUUUAAAGGAAUUCCAUUUCGUGCAUGUAGGGUGUGAAGGAGAAGAUAAUGCAAAUGGAAUCCAAUUCUCUAACCACAGGUCAGCCAGUUAACGUGAGUAUACUGUAUUUCAUUUAUGAUCUUUUUUGACUUUGUGCAUUUCAAUUGCAUUGUCCUCAAUAAGCUUUCUUUUCCCAUAUAUCUCUAUAUAAAGUUCUGCCUUUUUUUUUCCUUACGUACUCAUAGAUGUGCAUUUAUCAACAUAGGCUGUGUUCUUAAUGCUUUUAAACCUAUGACUUCACAUUUUUCCAUCACGGGAUUCUACCAUGUCUUUAUAAUUUUUCAUUUAUCAACAUGAUCUUUUUUCAACUCACAGGUUUUUCAAAUGAGUGAUAAAGAAUGCAGAUUGUUAGAUAUCACUUUUUUCUUUGUCCUCUUGAUUGCACUGCAUCUUUAUUUGGAAUCGGAUAUUUCUAUUUGUAACUUGUUUUUCGUGGGGUUUUUAAUUACAUUCCUUUUUACAAUAAUUCAGGAUUGGCCAUUUCUAAAAAAUAAUUGUUCUUCUUCUUGGUCUUCUCCUCAGUUAAUGCAGGCCUCAAAUUUCUACGUCUUUGUUAUAUCUGUAGAUAAUUUUCUGGUUUGAAUUGUACAAUACACUUAAAUAAUUCAAAGUUGCAGAAGUCUUGCUGGCUCACUAAUUACCAUCUCAUGUGGAUUUGGAAGAAAGGAAAUCUGCAACUUAAGAUACAAUGAGCUAUGAUCAUUCUUACAUUUUUAAAGCUUCUUCAUUUGUAUCAUAUGUUCUGAUGGCAUUUACUUUUUCUCAUUACACAUGCAUGAGGAAGAUUUUAUGACUUCCAUUAUAAGGUUUCAAUAACUAUAUUUGCAUUUUAUUUAUUUCAAGUAGAUGCAGGGGUGAAAAUUAUUUUGCCUGUUUCUUGACAUUUGGCACUUAAAACUCUACACUGGUGUUUGGUGUUUAAAAAGGGUUACUUCAUGCAGAUAAUGAAAGUAUAAAUAGUUCUUUACCAUAAAAAAAAAGCUUCAUGGUUGUUAAGAUCCAUCUAAUUCUUUGUCCUUUUAUUGAUAUGUUCUUCAACUUGUGGAAGACUUGGAAGGGGGAGCUUGAAUUAAAUUAAGCCAACACCUUGCAAAAGAUGAAUUCUGGCUAAGAAACCUCACUACUCACAAGUUCUUUCUUAUCCAAGACUUCUACAGCAGGUAAUUUGAGAUUAUGGUCUCAUAUUUGUAUUUCUUCAUGCUGAUGCGCUCACUGAUUUCACUCUCGUGUUUUCAUCUGAUGGUGACAACUCUUCCUCCUCUAUGCAGCCAUUAUGUAAUAAUAAUCAGAGCUUUGUGUCACUGACUGUUUGUUUGGUGUUUGUUACCGUAGUGAAGGUGCUGAUCAAGAAUACUAUGUUGACUUGUUUGAGCUGAAUGUAAUGGGAAUUGCUCCAGGGAAAGGGCGUGUAUGUGAUGUUGGAAUGCUUCUUCAAAGUUCAGGCAGGCCGACCCAGUUAUGUUUGGGGAGCUUGUCGCUAGUUAAAGACUUGACAAUGAAGAAGACCUUAGCCAUCUCCUACACAAACUGGUCGGGAGUUGGAGCCGUUCCCCUGAUGAGUCCAUGGCAGGACGAAACCAGUCAGCAUAGUGGGAUUGAAAUGCAUGGUGUGCAGGCUGAUCCCCUUUGAUUCUUGCCCAUGGGGUUGCCGCAUGGGCCAUGCCGCUGCGUUGGAACUCUAGGCUCGUGAUAUCUGUCUUGCUUGAGUUCAAGCGAAGCUUUCUGAUUGAUCAACAUGCUUCUGAUUAUCCUUCUGCUUAUCAAAAAGUUGCAGCUUGAAAAUGUGAAGGCGAAGGUAGUGAUUGCUGCUCAUGGAUUUGGUAGAGUGUGACAAUGACACUGGUCAUGUGAUUGGCCUUAACCUUGGCAGCAGCCGUCUCUGUGGUUCUAUCAACUCCAGCAGCACCUCUUCCACCUUGUGCAUCUUCAAGGGCUUGAUCUUUCUGAUAAUGAUUUCAGUUACUCUAAGAUCCCAUCUGGAGUUGUCCAGCUUUUUAGUCAAGAAAUCUAAACCACUCGUCUGGAGCUCUUAGUGCUGUCCAAACUGGUUGUCCUCGAUCUCUCACAAAAUCCAUUGAAGCGCCAGUAACCUGACCUGGCUUCACAUGCAGGGGUGAGAAGCAUUUCCUUCUUGUAAUACAAAAUGCUUUUGGGAGGUUGGUUGUAUCAUUCCUGGUGAAUGGUGAUUUCCCCUGUCAAAUUGGUACACUUUCAGACUUGAUCUCUUGCAUAUCAUUGGAGAACCUUUGUCUUUUUUCUUUUUCCUCAAUAUUGUCUUUAGAAAGAUUUUAACUAAAAGUAUUGUGCAAUUUCAUUUGAAAAAAUUUUCAAAUCCUCCUCUGUGCAGACCCCUGAUAUUAGGAAUAUGGUGGUUUAUGUUGGAAUACACGUUUUUCUCUCUAAAUCCUUGAACCCAGUGUAUCAAUAUCUCAGACAUUUCUUUUUGUUGACAGAUAUAUGCUGGAAAUAUGAUAGGGUGAUGAAGGCCAAGGAACCACUGUGGUGUUGAUUUGGAGAUCAAUCAGUGAAAGGUUCAGAUGAUUUCUUUUCUAGUUUCUUCUGAUUUAGGUAGAUUAAGAGGUAUCCUUAUGGUUGCAAAUUCUUCUGACCUAAAGCUUAAGCGAUCCUUUGGUGAAACAAAACAUAAUCCAGGAACAUUCCCUCCUUCAGUCACUGUUGCUAGCUUUCAGGAUGCUGACAGCAUUUACAGUAGUAAUAAAUAAAUGGUACCCUGCUUUCCGUAGUGAUCAUGUUAGAGUAGGAUUUUUUUUAUUUGACCUCUACAGGUGGCUUUUGCUGAGAAGUAAAAGUCAUUACUCAGGGCAGGUUCCUUUUCCUGAACCUGAGCAUUUUUUACUGAAGAUGAUGAAUUGAGACUGGAAUCUACUUCCAUUUUUGACAACCCGGGAAGGUAACAUUUUUCAAGCAAUGGCAUAAACAAUCUGUGGUGUUGGUCCAUCUUUCCUAAAUUAAAUAUUUUGUGAUGGAAGUAGGUUACUACAACUUGUUCUUUGUUUCUGCCAACAAAACUGAUGUGCUGGAUUGGAGUUGAGGAUUUUUUUUUUAUUCCUUCAUAAUUGUUUGAGUGUGUUUGUGAUUCAUUCUUGAAUGAUUUUCUUCCCCUUUUACCUGAGUUUACCAAUAUGUUAGACUCUCCUAGGGAACAUGUUCAUACACUAGAUUGUGGACAAUAAUAAUAAAUAAAAAUAUUUAAAUGAAAGCAUGUCAGAUCUUAUAUCCCUAAAAUGAUCUUCUAUUUGCAACUAAAGUAGCCUCAUUUCGAACAUUGUGAGUAAAAUGGGCUUGUUUCAGUUUUUAGAACAAAGCUGAAGGAACCUUCAUAAUUUCAUUCCAUGGAGUCCUCAAUCAAACCCUAAGUUUUCUUAAAGAUGAGGUUUAUAGUAGGUGAGAGGAGGGGUAAUGAUUUCAGAAUGUUCUGCCUGUUUGGAGCCAUUUAUGUUUCCCUCGGUUUUCUUAAUCUAAUCAUUUGUGUCUUGUCAUAUAUAUUUUUAUUCAGUUCACAGUUGAAGUAAUGUAAAUCACUGAUUGCUAGCUUGCUUCACACAGAUACAUGCAAGUCACUGAAGCUAAAUGAAGGUCGUGUUUUGAUGUUUUCAUGUAAACUUGGAAGGAUCACGAUGUAAUACCUCAAAAUGUCAAGAAGUAAGUAAUAUCUGUCCUCUGCAUGUACAUUUUAGUGUUAAUCAUUUCUCAUUAGUAUCUAGGAUUCUUACUUGAUAGUUAAAGAAGUUCGCAUUUCAGUUGUGUCUUGUAGAUCAUGCUUUUGGAAGCUAGUCACAACCCCAAAGCUGGAGUGCUUCAUCUAUAUAUGUCCCCUGUGAACUCCCAAUUCCCAAACAGGGCAUUGUAUAUUGUAUGCCUAUCCUAGAGUUCUAUCAGAUGGAUGGAAAGCCAAUCAUGAAGAAAUAUAAAAACAAGGCUGUCUUAUGUAUAUGGGUUGCAACCUGCUGUUCUGUGGGACAAGCGAUCCAAUAGUCAAGAGGAAGGUAGUUGCUGAGAAUGAAUAUGGAAGAGAGCAUUUAUAGAAAAUUUGAAGUUCAAAAACUUGAGGACCAGAUUACCUGUCGAACUUGAGAAAAGGGCAUAUCAAACCACACUCAAAACAAGUGAAAUAUUAUUUGUCUGAUGAUGUUGACUUGAGACAUGGGUGGAGUAUUGAGGAUCAUUCACUGAAUUCCUAAUGUAAAACACAAGCAAGUCUUGCCUAUAUCAUUCAUGGUUGCUGGAUUUGUUGUUCAUUGUAUUUAUCACAAAGCUACCUCUUAUUCUCAACAAAUCAUUUACCUUCAAUCGGAAAUUCAUAUUCUUGUGCUCUAUAAUUUUGUUUGGUUGUAAGUUAAAAAGAAGAAAUUGAAAGAAAAACUCGUAUUGUUUGGUUGCGAUUAAAUUUGUUUUCAGGUUUAUUUUAAAUUUUUAUAUAAUUUUUUUUAAAAAGAUGUAAGAAUAAUUUAGUAUUGUUUAAAUACAUUUAUAUUAUAAAAUAUGAGAUUCUAUACUACUGUGGUAACUUGUGGAUGAUCAUCCAUAAAUAUCUUUUAUAACUCUUUAUAAAAGGGAGAGACCCCUAAUGAAAUUGUAGAGAGUUAUCUUGUGCAUUCUAUUUUUUUUUUUUUUUCUUCUCUCACUUUGUUUUACAAUAAUUUACUAUUUUUUAUUUUUAAAUUAAAAAGUAAAAAAAAUUAUAUAAGAUACAAGAAUUUUUAGAAAAUUAUAUUUAAAAAAUUAAUAGUAUUAAAAAAUUAAGGUUUAUUUUUGUAUUUUUUCAUAUUUUAAUAUUUUUAAAAGUAAUUUUUAAAAAAUAUAAGACAAAUUUAUAUAAAUAUAAAGUGUUCUACUUCUAUAUAGAUAUUUAUAAUUUUUUAAAAAUAGAAAAUAUAUUAAAUGGCCUAAACUUGUAUUUAAAAACAAAUUUAAGAAAACAUGGUUAAUUGGGUCAUUUUUUCUUUUUAUUUUUAAAAAUUGAGAAAACAAUUUUUUUUAAAAUUAUUUUUUAUUUUACUUUAUUUUUAAAAAUUACUUUUAGAGAACAAUUAACAAACAUUAUUAGAAAAUUUAAAAAACAGCUUUCUAUUUUUUAAAAUAGAAAACUGCUUUUAAACCACACGUCCAAAUAAAUUCUUAGCUUUUUAUUUUAAUUCCUUGAAAACAAUAUUUUAAAAUAAAAAUUAAUAUUAAGCUAAUAAUAUUAUUUUCUCAACUUAUCAACAUUUAAAAGUACUGAAAUCUAUUCAGAAAAUCAUUAAUAAUAAAAAUCACAAAUAUUAAAUGUGUUAAGGGAAAAUUCUAGGGUACUUCCUAUGGUAUCGUACCCAAAAGUUUUUAAGCCAUUGGAUGUCCAAGAUUACAUCUUGGUCAUCCAUUUUAAAUUUGAAAUAAAAAUUCCACUUAACCGGUUAAGGGAAGAACCGGUUGUGGCCUUCCACCGUCUCCUUUAAUUUCUUCCUUUAUUCUCAACAAUUUUGGAUUUAAAUAAAAUAAAUCUGAGAUAAAUAUUGAGAUAAAAAUAGAAUUGGAAAAAAAUAAAAAUAAAAUUGAUAUAAAAUUUGAAAACGUAUUUAUUAAUAAAAAAAUCAUCAUAUAUCAUGAUUACAUUAUUUUAUUUUUAACAAAUUAUUAAACAUUUAAAUUCAACAUAAAAAUGAAUAUGAUAAUAUCUUAAUAUGAAAUAAGUAUUUUCAGUAAAAUUCGACAUUUAGAUAAUCAUAUGUAAAGCUUAGGUAAUUACAUCAUCCUAAUUUUAUCCGUACUCUCAAAAUUUUACAUUUUUUGAAUUUAAGGUUUUUAAAUUUAAAUUACAAUAAAAUAAAUUACUAAUACUCUUUUGAGUUACUAAUGAUAGUAUUUUAGAAAAUAAAUUUGUAAUUUCAAAAAUUUGAAAACUAAAAAUCAAUAUGAAAAAUGUGAUUAAAGUACCAAACAUGUAUUUAUCAUGGUUUUAAAAAUGAGAUCGGACUGGCUGGUUCAAACAAUAGCCGGUCACGGUUCCGAACCGGUUUGGUUAAUUAGACUGGAAAUAGAUUGAACCAGGAUUGAACCGAUUGAACCAGGAUCGGUCCGGUUGAACCGGUGGUCCGACCGGUGAAUCAGUAUUAAUGCUUUUGACAUCAAAACAACGUCGUUUUGGAGGAUAUAAAGCCUCAUUCUCCAAACCCUCCCUUUCUAAACUGCAGCUGCAGCCCGCCCCCAACACGCCGCGAUAGGCUCCCAUUGUUGGUCGUUUCAUCGUGCAAAGUCUCCCUCCACCGGCCUUUGCAAGAUCACCGUCGCUUGAGUCGCAUUUUCCCCGUCACGCUGUUGCGAGUUGGCAAGCCACCCCCUACCGCUGGAACCCCAGCUGUAAACCCUCUCCGACAGGCUGUAACCUCCCUCCCUCCCGGAUGUAAACCCCCCCACCUCCCUGCGCUGUAAAGCCCCCCCCUUCCAAUCUUGCCUUCCUUCCAUUUUUGUUUUUAAAAAUUUAAUUUUUAUGUUUUAUAUUUAAUAUCUUAAUAUUUAAUUUCUUAAUUUUUUUGUAGAUUAUAAUUGUAAUGAUAGCUUUAAUAUUUAAAUUUUUCAUUUUUAUUUUAUUUAUUUCACAUUGAAAUUUUAAUUUAUUGAAAUUAUUGAAAAUAUUGGGUUGUUGAUGAUAAAAUUUAGAUAGAAUUUAUUAUUUUUAUUUAUUUAUUUUUAAUUUUAAUAAUUAAUAUAUAUAUAUAUAUAUUAAAAAUUUUCAUUUUUAUUUUAUUUAUUUCACAUUGAAAUUUUAAUUUAUUGAAAUUAUUGAAAAUAUUGGGUUAUUGACAAUAAGAAAAACUUUAUAAAAAAAAUCAAUAGAUAUUAUUAAAUUUUAGAUAUAAUUUAUUAUUUUUAUUUAUUUAUUUAUAAUUUUAAUAAUAUAUAUAUAUAUAUAUAUAUAUACUGGUUCGACCGCCAAUCCAAUCAGUGAACCGUGAACCGGUAACUUUUUCGGUUCGAUGACCGGUCUAGUUCUAAAAACAUUAGUAUUUAUCAUAUUUUUCGUACCCUAAAUUAUUUAUAUUUUUAAAAUUUUAGAUUUACUUUUUAACUUGAAAUGACAAUAACAUAGUUUAAUAAUAUUAUUUUAAGUUAUUAUUGAUAGAAUUGUUACAAAAAAAAAUUAAAAAAAUUAAAAAUUGGAAAUGAGGUAAAUUAUCCUUAAAAAAAUUUAGAAAAUUAAAACACUAAAAAAUUAGGAAGGAUACGAAAAAUGUGAGAAAAUGUAUGAAGAUUAUGAGGAAUCUUUAGAUUCUCUGUACCCUUCUUCACAAUAAUAUUGUUUAUUGAUACCAAUUAAGCUUAGAAAUGAUGAAAAUUAUUUUUAAAAAAAUAAAAAAUUUAAAACACUAAGUAAUCGUAGAGGGUACAAAUAAUGUGAGCAAUCCUCACAUUCUUCAUACCUUACCUCACAUUCUCCGUAUACUGAAAUUUAACAAAUUUUAGAAUUUUUUUUCCACUUAAAAAUACAAAUAAUAUUGUUUAUUGAUACUAAUCAAGCUUAGAAAUGAUGGAAAUUAUUUUCAAAAAUAAUUAAAAAAUUAAAACACUAAGUAAUUGUAGAAGGUACGAAUAAUGUAAGGAAUGGUACAAAGAAUGUGAGGAAUCCUCACAUUCUUAGCACCCUCUAUCACAUUCUCUUUACCCUCGAAAAUGUUACAAAUUUUCAAACUUUUCAAUUUUUUUUUUCCAUAUGGAAAUACAAUAAUAUUGUUUAUUGAUACUAAUUAAGCUUAGAAAUAAUGAAAAUUACCCUUAAAAGAAAUUAAAAAAAUUAAAGCAUUAAAAAUUUGGAGAUGGUACGAAGAAUGUGAGGAAGGGUACAAAGAAUGUAGGAAAUUCUCACAUUUUUCGUACCCUUCCUCACAUUUUUCAUACCAUUUCUCACAUUCUUUAUACUCUUGAAAUUUGACAAAUUUUCGAUUUUUCCACUUAAAAAUACAAUAAUAUUGUCUAUCAAUACUAAUUAAGCUUAGAAAUGAUGAAAAUUAUCCUAAAAAAAAUUUUAAAAAAUUAAAACAUUAAAAAAUUGGAAAAGUACGAAGAAUGUGAGGAAGGGUAUGAAGAAUGUGAUGAUUGAAGAAUGUGAGAAAUCCUCAUAUUCUUCAUACUACUUUUCACAAUGUUUUGUACCCCUUCUUACAAUGUUCGUACCCCAUCUCAUAAUGUUUGUACCCCCUCACAUUGUUCGUACCUCAUCUCACAAUGUUCAUACAAUUUCUCAUAAAGUUCGUACCCUAUCUCACAAAGUUUGUACCCCAUCUCACAAAGUUUAUACCCCAUCUCACAAAGUUCGCACCCCUUCUCACAAUGUUCGUACCCCUCUCACAAUGUUCGUACCCCAUCUUACAUUGUUUGUACAUCAUCUCAUAAUGUUCGUACCAUCUCUCACAAAGUUCGUACCAUAUCUCUUAAAGUUUGUACCCCAUCUCAUAAAGUUCGUACACCACUAUCACAAAUGUUGUAUCACAUUUCACAAUGUUCGUACCACAUAUCACAAUGUUCGUACCAUCUCUCAUAAUGUUUGUAUCCCCUCUCAAAAAGUUCGUAUCCCUUCUCACAAAGUUCAUACUACAUCUCACAAAAUUCGUACUCUCUCAUAAUAUUUGUACCCUUUCUCACAAUGUUUGUACCCCAUCUCACAUUGUUUGUACAUUUUCUCAUAAUUUUUGUACCAUUUCUCACAUUGUUCGUACCAUCUCUAACAAUUUUUUGUACCCCAUCUCACAUUGUUCGUACACCCUAUCACAAUGUUCGUAUCCUCUCUCACAAUAUUUGUACAUUUUUUUUUACAUUAUUCGUACCCUCUUUUCACAUUGUUUGUCAUUCUUCUCACAUUGUUUAUACCCUCUUUAACAUGACAUUUCCACCUACAAAAUUUAUAUUUAAAUAAAAAAAAAUCAAAUUUUAACUUUAAUACUUGUAAUCAAUUGGAAUCCUUCAUAUAAUAUCUUUUCAAGAGACAAAAAUUAUUGUUUUCCUUCUUCAAGAUAUAUAAAACUUCAUCUUCAAAUUUAAUCUAUGAAUGCACAAAAUAAUAACAUAAAAAUAUUGAUGACGAUUUCAUAACAAAUGACUAAAUUGUGUCAAAUUGAUUAAUAAUAACUCAUAAAAAAAUUCAAAAAUCUAAAUGUUAUAAAUCAUUACAUAAUUAAAUGUCAUUUAACAUGACAUUUCUACCUACAACAUUUAUAUUUAAAUGAAAAAAAAAAUCAAAUAUUACCUUUUAACACUUAUAAUCAUCUUCCUCAAGAUAUAUAAAACUUCAUCUUUAAAUUUAAUCUAUGAACACACAAAGAAAUGAUAUAAAAAUACUAUAAAAAAGAUUAAAUUAUCUUAAUUUGAUUAAUAAUAAACUCAUAAAAAUGCUAAAAUUUAAAUUUUAUAAAUCAUUGUAUAUUCGGUAUUUAACAUAAUAUUUCUACCUACAAAAUUUAUAUUUAAAUAAAAAAUUAUUAAAUAUUACCUUUGACACUUGUAGUCACUUGAAAUCCUUCAUCUUCUUCAUAGAAUACAAAUUUUAAAUUUUCUUCCAAAUUUGAUUUAUCAAAACACAUCCCACAUAUUUUGUAAUAUGGUAGUAUUUAAUUUUCAUAUUAAAUUAGAUAAUACUUUUUUGUAUAUAUGAAUAAUGAGAUUAUAAGGGUAGUUGAUAAGAUUUUUUUAGAUAGAGUUAGGUAGUUCAUUAAAUAACAAAUUAUAUUUGAUAUUUAAUAAUAAAUUAUGAAAAAAAAAGUCUUAAUAUUUGGAUAUGUAUGAACAUCAAUAGGUUACUUUUUUUGGGUUUAAUAAGUUUUUGUAAAUUUUAUAAUGACAUGCAUUUUAUACGUGUCAUUUUAUUAUAGGGGUGAAAUGUGGGUGGUAACCCGAAAUAAAGAGUGGGUACCAAAGAACAACCCAUGUGUUUAGAAUUUAUAAAAUUAAAAAAACCAUCCAAACGGCACAUUAGUGCGGAGCUUCGAUAAUUGUGGAGGCAGUCACGGACGCCCUGCUCUUCUUUUUAUUCAGCCGUGUGCCAUGGCGGCCAUCGGAAUGCUACGCGUUUCCCCCUUUACUCUCUGAUUGCUGAAGCUUUCACAGCACAAAACCUCUUUCAUUUGGCGUAUGACAUGGAGGACAUCUUGGACGAGUUUGCUUUCGAAUUGAUCAUGAGAAGGAGCUGAUGGGGGCGGAAGCUGAAGAAGCCAGCACAAGCAAGGUGAGCAGGUUCAUUCCUAGUUUCUGUACUUGUUUCAAUCCAACUCAUGUGGUGCGUAAUGUUAAGAUGGGGCCCAAAAUUGGAGAGAUCACCAGCAGAUUACAAGAUAUUUCAGCUAGAAAAGCUGGACUUGGCCUGGAAAAAUUAAGAGGAGCAGCAGCUACUUCCGCUUGGCAAAGGCCACCACCCACUACACCUAUAGCAUACGAACCUGACGUUUAUGGCAGGGAUGAAGAUAAAACACUGGUUCUUGAUUUGCUGCGCAAGGUUGAGCCCAAUGAAAACAAUGUCAGCGUUAUUUCCAUUGUUGGCUUGGGCGGGGUGGGCAAGACUACGCUCGCACGGCUGGUUUACAAUGAUGAUUUGGCCAAAAAUUUUGAACUAAAAGCGUGGGUUUGUGUGACUGAUGUGUUUGAUCUGGAGAAUAUAACAAAGGCAAUUCUCAAUUCGGUGUUAAAUUCUGAUGCAAGUGGGUCUUUGGACUUCCAACAAGUUCAAAGGAAAUUGACAGACACGUUAGCAGGGAAAACUCUUUUACUCAUUCUAGAUGACGUGUGGAACGAAAAUUAUUGUAAUUGGGAUCGUUUGCGGGCUCCUUUGAGUGUAGUGGCAAAAGGAAGCAAAGUCAUAGUUACAACAUGCAAUAAAAAUGUUGCAUUGAUGAUGGGAGCUGCCAAGAAUGUUCAUGAACUAAACCAUUUAUCCGAAGACGAUUGUUGGUCUGUGUUUGAGAAGCAUGCAUUUGAACAUAGAAAUAUCAAUGAUCAUCCGAACCUGGAGUCCAUUGGUAGGAAAAUUGUUGCCAAAUGUGGUGGAUUGCCACUAGUAGCAAAAGAGCUUGCUGGUCGAUUACGCUCAAAGCAAAGGGAAGCCGAAUGGGAAAGCGUAUUGAAUAGCUAAAUGUGGGAUUUGUCAAGCGCGGAAUGUGAGAUUCUUGGUGCGUUGCAGUUGAACUAUCACAAUCUCCCUUUGUUGAAAUUAUAAUCUGACUUAAAGUCAAAUUAGAAGAAUUUUAGGAAUUUGAGAAAUAUUAGGAAUUGUUAUUUAUUUAAGUUUCUUAUGUUAAUCAGGACUUGGGUCUAAUAGAAAUUGAAGUCCUAAUACAAGUAUAAUUAGUUUAUUGUAAAUAGGCUUGUUAUUAUGUUGAAAAGUGAAAUGUAAUAAAAUUUUAUUUUUAACAAAGUUGCAAACAUUAAGGGGUGAAUUUGAGUCUCUUUGCAUGAAUGACUCUAAAUCUAUCUCAGAUUACUUUGAUUAGGUACAAACCAUUGUUAACCAAAUACAGGUUAAUGGUGAAAAGCUUGAUGAUCAACAAAUAGUAGAGAAAAUUAUGUGCUCUUUAAGUGCAAGAUUCGACUAUGCUGUUGCAGCAAUUGAAGAAGGAAAGGAUAAUUGUUCUUCUCCUUGGUCUCCUCCUCAGUUAGUGUAAGCAUCAAAUUUCUACCUCUUUGUUAUGUCUGUGGAUAAUUUUCUGGUUUGAAUUGUAAAGCACACUUAAAUAAUUCAAAGUUGCAGAAGUCUUGCUGGCUCACAACUUACCAUCUCAUUUGGAUUCCCAAGAAAGGAAAUCUGCAACUUGGGAUACAAUGAGCUAUGAUCAUUCUUACAUAUUUAAAGCCUUCUUCAUUUGUAUCAUAUGUUCUGAUGGCAUUUCCUUGUUCUGAUGGCAUUUCCUUUUUCUCAUUAGAUAUACAUGUGGAAGAUUUUUUGACUUCCAUUAUAAGUUUUCAAUAACUAUUGUUGCAUUUCAUUUUAUUUCAAGGAGAUUCAGGGGUGAAAUUCUUUUGCAUGUGUCUUGACGUUUGCCACUUAAAACUCUACAAUGGUGUUUGGUGUUGAAAAAGGGGUACUUCAUUGCAGAAUAAUGAAAGUAUAAAUAGUUCUUUACCAUAAAAAAAAGCUUCAUGGUUGUUAAGAUCCAUCUAAUUCUUUGUCCUUUUCUUGACAUGUUCUUCAAUUUGUGGAAGACGUGGGAGGGAAAGCUUGAAUCAAAUUAAGCCAACUCCUUGCAAAAGACGAAUUCUGGCUAAGAAACCUCACCACUUACAAGCUCUUUCUCAUCCAGGAAUUCUACAGCAGGUAAUUCGAGAUUAUGUCUCAUCUUUGUAUCUCUUGAAGCUGAUGCACUCACCGAUUUCACUCUCAUGUUUUCAUCUGAUGGUUACCAACUCUUCCUCUUCUACACAGCCAUUAUGUGAUAAUAAUCAGAGCUCUGUCUUGCUUGAGUUCAAGCAGAGCUUUCUGAUUGGUCAGCAUGCUUCUGAUGAUCCUUCUGCUUAUCCAAAUGCUGCAGCUUGGAAAUCUGAAGGAGAUGGUAGGUACUGCUGCUCAUGGGAUGUCGGAGAGUGUGACAAGGACACUGGCCAUGUGAUCAGCCUUAACCUUGGCAGCAGCCGUCUCUUGGUUCUAUCAACUUCAGUAGCACCUUCUUCCGCCUUGGGCAUCUUCAAGGGCUUGAUCUCUCUGAUAAUGAUUUCAAUUACUCUAUAUCACUUCUGGAGUUGUCCAGCUUUUGAGUCUAAGAAGUCUACACCACCCCUUUUCCAGAUGCUCCGGCCAAAUCCCAUUGAAGCUCUUACUUAGAACUGUCCAAACUGGCUGUCCAUGAUCUCUCACAAAAUCCAUUGAAGCACCAGUAACCUGACCUGGCUUCAGAUACAGGGGUGAGAAGCAUUUCCUUGUUGCAAUACAAGCUGGUUGUAGCAUUCCUGGUGAAUGGUGAUUUCCCCUGUCAAUUUGGUGCACUUUCAGACUCAAUCACUCUUGCAUGUCAUUGGAGAACCUUAAUAUUUUUUUGUUCUUCCUCAAUAUUUUGUUUUUAGAAAGAUUUUAACUAAAAGUAUCUUGCAAUUUCAUUUGAUUUUUUUUUUUAAAUCCUCUGCAGACCCCUAAUAAUAGGAAUAAGGUGGUUUAUGUUGGAAUACAUAAUUUCUCUUCAAAUCCUUGAACCCAGUGUACCAGUUUUUCAAACAUUCUCUUUGUUAACAGACUUAUGCUAGAAAUAUGAUAGGGUGAUGAUGACCAAGGAACCACUUUGGUGUGGAUUUGGAUAUCAAUCACUAAAAGGUUGGGAUGAUUUCUUUUUCUAGUUUCAUCUGAUUUAGGGUAGAUUAAGAGGUAUCCUUAUGGUAGCAAAUUCUUCUGACCUAAAGCUUAAGCGAUCCUUUGGUGAAACAAACAUAAUCCAGGAACAUUCCCUCUUUCAGUCACUGUUGUUAGCUUUCAGGAAGCUGACAGCAAUUUUUACAGUAAUAAAUAAAUGGUACCCUGCUUCCAUAGUGACCAUGUUAGACUAAGAUUUAAUUCAUCAACCUCUACAGGUGGCUUAUGCAGAGAAGUAAAAGACAUUACUCUGGGGAGGUUCGUUUUCAGGGUUUCUGUGUGGGAUGGAUGGACCUAAACUCGAGCAUUUUAGACCGAAGGUGAUGACUGGAGACUGGAAUCUACUUCCCUUUUUGAAACCUGCGAAGUUACCAUUUUCAAGCAAUUGCAUAAAAAAUAUGUGAGGUUCAUGGUUGAAGUAAUGCAAAUCACUGGGUGCUUGCAUGCUGCACAGAGGUUGUGUUUUCUCAUAAACUUGGAAGGGUCACAUUGUAGUGUCGAUCAUUUCUCAUUAGCAUCUGGCAUUCUUACUCGAUAGUUAAAAAGGUUCACAUUUCAGUUGUGUCUUGUGGAUCAUGGUUUUGGAAGCUAGUCACAACCCAAAAGCUGGAGUGCUUCAUCUAUAUAUGUCCCUGGUGAAAUCCCAAUUCCCAAACAGGGCAUUGUAUAUUGUAUGCCUAUCCUAGAGUUCUAUCAGAUGGAUGGAAAGCAAAUCAUGAAGAAAUAUAAAAACAAGGCUUUCAUAUGUAUAUGGGUUACAAGCUGCUGUUCUGUCAGACAAGUGGUCCAAUAGUCCAGAGGAAGGUGGCUGUUGAGAAUGAAUAUGGAAGAAGAGCAUUUAUAGAAAUUUUGAAGUUCAAAAACUUGAGGACCAGAUUACCUGUAGAACUUGAGAAAAGGACAUAUCAACCACACUCAAAACAGGUGAAAUAUUAUUUGUCUGAUGAUGUUGACUUGAGACAUUGCUCUUAUUGCCAACAAAUCAUUUACCUUCAAUUGGAAAUUCAUAUUCACGUGCUCUAUAAUUUUGUUUGGUUGUAAGUUAAAAAGAAGAAAUUAAAAGAAAAACUCACAUCGUUUGGUUGCGUUUAAUUAUUUUUUUUAGGUUCAUUUUUAAAGUUUGAAAUAAAUUUUUUUUAAAAAAAUAUAAGAAUAGUUUACUGUUGUUUAUUUUUUUAAAAUUAAAAAAGAAUAAAUUUUUUUAUAUAAAAUACAAUAAUUUUUUUUAAGAAUUGCAAUAAAAAAUUAAUUCUCUUAAAAAGGGUUUAAAAAAUUAAUGUGUAUUUUUUUAUUUUCUCUUAUCUUAAUAAUUUUUUAAAGUAAUUUUUUAAAAAAUAGAAAAUAUAUUGAAAGGGUUACUUAGCUUUUUAUUUUAAAUGCUUUAAAACAAAAUUUUAAAAUAAAAGUUAAUAUUAAGCUAAUAAUAUUAUUUCUUAAAUUAUCAACAUUUAAAAUUACAGAAAUCUAUUCAGAAAAUCAUCAAUAAUGAAAAUCACAAUUCACAAGUAUUAAAUGUGUUUAAUAUUUAUAAAAUAAAAAUAAAUAAAUAAAUAAACCAUCCAAACAGCAUCUUAGUGCGGCGCUCCAAUAAUUAUGAAGAGCUGUCAUGAAUGGCAUGCUUUGCUUUUACUUGAGCCGUGGCCAUGACGACCUUGGAAUCCUACGCGUGUUGACCCGUUUACUUCGGAUUGCUGAAGUCUUCACACCACACAAUUUCCAUCCUCCCUUCUCUACUCUCUGCUCUUUGUUUGCCUUUGCUGAACACCAUGGCAGUUGUUGGAGAGGCUCUUCUUUCCGCUGCCUUUGGCUCGUUGUUUGACAAGUUGCGUUGCUCUGAUCUGAUUAAGCUCGCACGGCAGGAGCAUGUCCACACCGACCUCAAGAAAUGGGAGAAGCAGUUGCAGAGCAUCCGGCAAGAGAUCAACGACGCGGAGAAGAAGCAGAUCACACAGGAGGCUGUCAAAUCAUGGCUGUUUGAUAUGACGGUUUUGGGAUAUGACACGGAGGAUAUCUUGGACGAGUUUGCUUACGAAUUGACGAGGAGAAAGCUGAUGGGAGCGGAAGCUGAAGAAGCCAGCACAACCAAAGUACGCAAGUUCAUUCCUAGUUGCUGUACUAGUUUCAAUCCAACUCAUGUGGUGCGUAAUGUCGAGACGGGAUCCAAGAUUAGAGAUAUCACCAGCACAUUACAAGAUAUUUCGGCCAGAAAAGCUGGACUUGGCCUAGAGAAGGUGACAGCAGCAGCAGCUACUUCCGCUUGGCAAAGGUCGCCACCCACUACACCUAUAGCGUACGAACCUGGGGUUUAUGGCACGGAAGAGGAUAAAAAAGUGAUCCUCGAUUUGCUGGGCAAGGUUGAGCCCUAUGAAAACGAUGUCGGCUUCAUUUCCAUUAUUGGAAUGGGUGGGGUGGGAAAGAACGCUCGCGCAGUUUGCUUUGGUGAAAUAUGCUUUUGUUUGGAAGAUAACUUGGAAAGUAAUCGACAAUCCACAAUUUCUAAAGAGACUCGUCAUUCAUCGUUCAUUCUUGGAAAAUUCGAUGUGUUCAAGAAAUUUGAAGCCUUUCAAGAGUUUGAACAUUUACGGACAUUUGUGGCUCUACCAAUUCAUGGUACGUUUACAGAAUCUUUUGUAACUAGUUUGGUGUGAGAUCAUUUGGUGCCAAAAUCUCGACAGUUAAGAGUCCUCUCUUUGAGUGAAUGUAUGAUAUUUGAGCUACCAGAUUCUAUUGGUGGAUUAAAACAUCUGCGUUAUUUGAAUUUGUCUUUCACCCAAAUCAAAUUAUUGCCAGAUUCAGUGACCAACCUCUAUUAUUUACAAACAUUGAUACUAUCCAAUUGUGAGCAUCUUACCAAAUUUAAUUAGCCUUAGACAUCUCAAUGUUGUUAGUUGUUCAUUGCAAGAGAUGCCACAGCAAAUAG
rnacentral:lncRNA from 1 species